ensembl:misc_RNA Metazoa_SRP Metazoan signal recognition particle RNA
GCUGGGCAUGGUGGUGCGUGCCUGUAAUCCCAGCUACUUGGGAGGCUGAGGCAGGAGAAUCACUUGAACCCGGGAGGCGGAGGUUGCAGUGAGCCGAGGUUGCGCCAUUGUACUCCAGCCUGAGUGACAGAGUGAGACCCUGUCUCAA